rnacentral:rRNA from 1 species
UACGUAGGGGGCAAGCGUUGUCCGGAUUUAUUGGGCGUAAAGAGCGUGUAGGCGGUUUGGUAGGUCCGUUGUGAAAACUCGAGGCUCAACCUCGAGACGCCGGCGGAAACCAUCAGGCUAGAGUCCGGAAGAGGAGAGUGGAAUUCCUGGUGUAGCGGUGAAAUGCGCAGAUAUCAGGAAGAACACCCGUGGCUAAGGCGGCUCUCUAGUACGGUACUGACGCUGAGACGCGAAAGCGUGGGGAACGAACAGG